UAGGGAAUCUUCGGCAAUGGACGAAAGUCUGACCGAGCAACGCCGCGUGAGUGAAGAAGGUUUUCGGAUCGUAAAACUCUGUUGUUAGAGAAGAACAAGGACGUUAGUAACUGAACGUCCCCUGACGGUAUCUAACCAGAAAGCCACGGCUAACUACGUGCCAGCAGCCGCGGUAAUACGUAGGUGGCAAGCGUUGUCCGGAUUUAUUGGGCGUAAAGCGAGCGCAGGCGGUUUCUUAAGUCUGAUGUGAAAGCCCCCGGCUCAACCGGGGAGGGUCAUUGGAAACUGGGAGGCUUGAGUACAGAAGAGGAGAGUGGAAUUCCAUGUGUAGCGGUGAAAUGCGUAGAUAUAUGGAGGAACACCAGUGGCGAAGGCGGCUCUCUGGUCUGUAACUGACGCUGAGGCUCGAAAGCGUGGGGAGCAAACAGG
rnacentral:rRNA from 1 species